AGGUCUUCAAUCAGCCACACACAUAUUCAAUCUCUAUGGAUAUUCAUACGAGGCCCUCAAAUCCGAUCAGAGGCCUACGACUUCAUCGGAGUGCUAGUGCCUUUGCAGAAAAUUCCUCUUGAUGGUUGAUGUUGCUGAUAUUCAUGAUCUCUCAGACUCUUUAAGGAAGAUGGAGUAGAGGAGGAAGAGGAAUAAUAAGGAGAUGUUCUCUCUAUUUGUCCCUCGUCCUGAAAUCCCACGCC
rnacentral:lncRNA from 1 species